GCGCAGCAGGCGCGAAACUUUACAAUGUGCGAAAGCACGAUAAGGGAACUCUGAGUGCCUCCUAAGGAGGCUGUUCAGGUGUCUAAAAGCACCUGAAGGAAGGGCUGGGUAAGACCGGUGCCAGCCGCCGCGGUAACACCGGCAGCCCAAGUGGUAGCCACGUUUAUUGGGUCUAAAGCGUCCGUAGCCGGCUGGGUAAGUUCCUUGGGAAAUUUGGCUGCUUAACAGUCAAGCUUUCGGGGAAUACUGCCCGGCUUGGGACCGGGAGAGGUCAGAGGUACUCCAGGGGUAGGGGUGAAAUCCAUUAAUCCUUGGGGGACCACCGGUAGCGAAGGCGUCUGACCAGACCGGGUCCGACGGUGAGGGACGAAGGCUAGGGGGCGCGAACCGGAUUAGAUA
rnacentral:rRNA from 1 species